rnacentral:rRNA from 1 species
AUGUGGAGCUCCGACUCCGAGCCCGACUAUGCAGCCGGCGGCGCCACCGCAUCGUCCUCCACCUGCUCAUCCAACCCGUCGACACCACCGCUUCCUUGCCCGCCCCAGCCUCCGCCACGCCGCCACAAGAACAUUGCGGGUGUGGCCGCGACGUGCAAGAGGGCGGAGGAGGCCGAGGACGUGUGGCACGGGGCUCGGUGGGAGGCGGUGUGGCCACGGCACCCGAAGCCGGUGGUCGUCGCCGCCGAGGAGACGGGCAGCACCGGCGCCGCGUCGUCACCUUGUGGCGGCGACGGCGUGCGCCGCGCGAGGAGCCUCACCGACGAGGACCUGGAGGAGCUCAAGGGGUGCGCAGAUCUUGGCUUCGGCUUCAGCUACGACGGGAUCCCGGAGCUGCGCGGCACCCUCCUCGCCCUUGAGCUCUGCUACUCCAUGAGCCAGCGGUUCCUCGACCAGCCCCAGGCGCCGCAGGAGCAGGAGACGGCCGCCACGCCGACGACCUCGCCGCCCGUUGCCAACUGGAAGAUCUCCAGCCCAGGGGAUAGCACGGAGGAGGUGAAGGCGCGGCUCAGGUACUGGGCGCAGGCGGUGGCGUGCACCGUCAGGCUCUGCAGCUGA